rnacentral:lncRNA from 1 species
GAAAUUCAUAGGCAAAUGGAUGGAAAUGGAAAAUAUCAUCCUGAGUGAGGAUGAGCACCUGGCUGUCUUGUUCCAGAAGGUGGAGGAACCGUUUCUUCUGUUAAGCAGGAGGAUGGAACACUGCAAUAUUUAGAGGAAUUGCUAUCUUUAUUAAUGAUGAAGAUGUAGAACUCUCAGCUCCUUCUCCAGCACGAUGCCUCCCUGAAUGCUGCUGUGCUUCCCGCCAUGGUGAUAAUGGACUAAACUUCUGAGAGUACUUAAUAUCAGAUUCAUCAGUGAGUAAGAAUCCCGAUUCUACGCAAAGAAAUUGAUUCUGUUUUGCUCAAGAGAUGAAAUUGCUUCUUGUGGCCAUGAAGGCAGG